GGAGAAGUAUGCUAUGAAGUAAGCUAUUAGACUCAUGAUCUAAUGAAGAAAAAGAGAUUUCCUUUUCCG
rnacentral:tRNA from 2 species